CUGUUUUAAUAAACGUAUGCACAGUUACAUUUCCUUUCACAACAAAAAUCUUAAUGUGACAUUUUGUUCCCAAGCCUAGAAACUUCAGAAGAAUUUCAAAACAUGGGCAGCAUUAGAGGCAGCAUGGGCGGUGUGGGAAGAGCACUGACCUUGGUGUCAAUCCCUAAGUAGCCCCAUGUGAGCACACAGCCUCAGUUGCCUUAUCUUUAAAAUGGGAUACCGGAAUCAAACUGGCAGCUUGUGAUCAGAACGAGAGAACAUACACGCAAAGCAGUUAGUAGAGUUCGUGGCACAAAUGGACACUAGUGACAACAAAUCGCCACAGUUACAACAGAAAAAGCAGUUAACAAGGUUGGACGCAAGGUAUCAUAGGUUUCAAAGAAGACUGAUUUUUUUUUUUUUAUUUGAUGUUUCCUUCUGACCUCAAGAGAUGUGAUCUAACUGUCCAUUCUGACUGGCCUAAGUACAUGGGGAACUUCGAGCAAGCUUCCCCUCCCCAACUGCACACACACCAUCCAAUUCAAAAAGCCCCUUCCGAUUGCUUCAUUCACAGGGCAAUGGUUCCCUAAGUCAUCAAAUGAGCAGAAGAUGAGAACCCAACUCCAAAGCUCUUAAAACCUAGGCACUAUGGAUUGAUCUUCUUUGGUUUCAGGAGCGCGUGUGUGUGUGCGUGGGUGUGUGUGUGUGCAAGCAUGCUCGCACACAUUGUGUGCAUCACAUUAUGAUGCUACUUGCCAAUAAUAAAUGUGCUAGGCGUUAUGUGAGGAACUGCAAAUUCAUCUUUCCUAAUCCACACCAACAAUGGCAUCAGGUAGGCUUUAUCCCCAGUUGACAGAGGAAAGAAUAGCCCCCAGAGAGCUGAAAUCACUUGUCUAAUGCCACAAAACACAGGAAGCAGCAAACCUGGGGUGGCUCUGAAUUUCCUCCUUCUGGGCCACGCUGACUUCAUAAUACUGAACCUAAAGCCCCGGGACCCACCUCCCAUGCAUGUAUUUCCUGGGGAGUAGGGGACGGCAGCCAAGGAGGAGGAGGAACGGAGUGUCUCUCCAGUAUGCGACACAUCCUAUGAAAGGUCAAGGGUGUUCUGUGGGCGUAGAGGAAAGGUACCUGGCUCCAACCAAAGUGACCAGGCGCCUUCCCUCUGGGGCAGCCAGGAGGGCGGAAGUGCACCUAACAAGGAUGGCUUUCUUGGGGACAGCGUUGGGAGAACCACAAGGGUAGAAAUGAGAAAGGAGAGGGGUGCAUCCACUUGAAUACUAAGGAGUUUAGGCUUUAUUCUGAAAGCAAUCGAUAGGGAAUGAAGGUUUUUAAACAUCAGAUGUGCAUUUUAAAAUUGCUCAAACAUUUAAAAAUAAGAGAGGGCACAAUUCCCUCAUUACCAUUCAACAAAUAAAAUUCUUCAAGCAAAAAUCCUUCCCCAGAAUAUAAAAUGUCCUCCUCACUACAGAUCUCAGCAGUAAUAGAUCUUGGGAGCCUGUAAAACAGACUUGAAUAUUAGCAGCACAGUUUGGGAACUAUUCUUCUAGAAGACUUUUUGUGUUUGAUAAUAGCCAAAGAAAGAAUUAUGCACACAACUGCACUGAAAGUGGAGUUGUCUUUUCUGUGCUUUCUUCUUCUUCUUCCUCUCUCCUUUUUAAAAAAGGUAUCUGCUGUGCACAUUCAGCUUCUCUUCGCUUCUAGGGGCAAGGAAAUGCCCUGCGAUAUUUUUUCCCCUUAAACUGUAAACCAUUAGUUUAGCUGCCAGUUACACAAAUACUCGAACUUCCCAGUGUGCCGGGCUCUGCUGUCCAAGCUUUCUCCAGGGUACGCUGAAAUGAAUGUGUUUCUAAUUAAGUAGCUUCAGGAACACGACAGCUUCAAUGUCAAAAAUACAAAGUCUGAACCCUGGCAGGAAGUCUUAAGACUGCAAAUGUCUCAUCUCGUGGAACCUUGCCUAAUGUAAUGAAAGGAAGCAGGAAGAGAGAAUUCCAGAAAAAUGGCCACUUAUUAAUUUGUCCAGCCGCACAGCCUAACACAUAGAAGGGAGGAAAAACUCCAAUCUGUAACAUUUAACCGAAUCUUAGCAACUUUUCCAGCUCCUGCAUUGACUCAUGCAAUUGACAAAUGACGUGGGGUUUUCAUCAGAAUUUGAGAAUUGAAAUUCUAGCCGGUGAGUUAAUGUACAGAAAAAGACCAUUCAAACAACUGUGAGGAAAAGGUGAAAACAAAUACGGAGCAAGUCUCCGUCUACCUCAAGUCUCUUCCCUGAAAAAGAAAUGUUUUCUAGAAUUUUAAAUGCAUAGGUUUUAAUGCCAUGCCCUUUUGUCCUGCAAUAAAAAUCAACGAUAUUUUGAAAGACAGGAACGGUAGUCUUGCAGAAGUGACUGCAUGUGCAAAGAGGGACAAAGUGAGACUCACCAUUCAGGUAUCAUUAGGUAGGCAUUUUUUUUUUUAAGCCCAAUAAUUUUCCAAAGAGUAAUCACGGCCAAUCAUAGAAGUGCAAUUUCUUAGCCAAGUAUUCCUAGGGCUGCAGCAGCUCUGUAUUUAGAAAAUAUUGAAAGCACACUUACUCUGAAAUCACAGCAGCCCCAGCUUUUGUAUAAAUGCAAAUUUGGACAAAUACCUUUUACACUGUCAUCAUUUGCUUACAAAGCCUCAAAUACUUCCCUGAAUUGACUGCAUUUUCACUAGGCAAAGAUACUAAUUACAAAUUCCAAGUGGGGAGAGGAAAAUGGAAGAAAAAAAAAAAAAGGCAAAAGAAAAAGAACAGAAAA